CUGUGAGGGGCUGGGGCAACAGGGUUGGGAGAGCUGGGGCAGCAGGGCUGGGAUGGGCAACGGGCUGCUGACGGUUGACAGAAGAAGCCAAGUGGGCCUUGAAUUCCAGGUCUCAGCCAGGAGCUGCAGAAUUCUACUCAGAGAUGGUGAGCAUGGGGUUUACAGGCUCACACUGGAAGACAGGCUUUGCUACAUUCUCUGGCCGGAAGCACAGACUGUGGGAAAAGUCAAGAACAUUGACAAAGCCCAGUUUGAAGGCAGGGGUCAGCGGGAAGAGGCUGCUUGAUGACAGUCACUUGGGUUCAUCUGCAAAUACCGGCCAGAGUUUGAGGUUGUUGACAAUGGAAAAACUUCCCCGAAGGGAACCAGACAGGAGCUUUAGAACAUCUUAAAGGAACACAAGAGCAGCGAACAGGAAAUGCCUUGGUUUCUUUGCUUGCUUCCCCAAGAGAGCAGAAAUGAGGCAAAGCUCUGUGAGGAGGGUUGAAUUAUUAUACUGCAAGAAGUUUUCUGAAGAUCUGGGCUCUGAAGAUGGAUCCCAUUAGUAAAAUCUGACAGCUAUUCCAUGCCUCCCUGCAUUUUAGCAUCUCACACCAAAGCAUAAA